rnacentral:lncRNA from 1 species
CAUUGAUGGACACUUAGUAAGGAGGGGUGGGGCGGGUGAGUCGGCCUCGCCAGUGCGCAUGCGCGAGGCCCCAGCCGCCGCUUUGGUCACAGUGACCGCCACCGUUGCCGGGGGAUGGGUCCCUGAGACUUGGCGAAGUAGGAGCCCUGUGUGAUUGUGCGUCAGAGUCGGGGCUGACACCAGUCCUGGCCAGGGCACUUACCAGGACGGUCUCCGGAGGCCGGGAUUCGCGGAGGGUCCACCAGCAGUAAGAAACGCCAGGAGGAAGAAACCUCAGACAGAUCGCCGGGGAGGCAGCGCGGGAUCCCAGCCUCAGGCGUGCGCGGACGGUGUGCGGGUGAGUCUCCCCAAAAGUGGCGCCCUUGUGAUGUGGAGGACAGGUCUGCCAGGGUGUCCGUGGGCUGCUGUCUCACCGGUGGCUUCGUAGUCGCGGAGAGCAGAACCCGGCAGCUUCAGGGGCAGCCUGGGGGUGGGUGUUACCUGCUGUAUGUCUGUGUGCGUCUUGGUUGUGUGUGUGUGUGUGUGUGUGUGUGUUUGUGUGUGUGCGUGCGCGCGUCUGUGUGCCUUCUAUCUCUUACGUCUCUCUCUCUCUCUCCCC